AGACUGAAAUAAAACUUGUUCAAAUCAUGGGAAUGAUUCAUAACAGUCAGCAAGGAGAAGUACAGAGACCUGUACCUGGGGUAGAACAACAACCUGUAUAGAAUCAUAGAAUCAUAGAAUGGCCUGGGUUGAAAAGGACCUUAAAGAUCACCUAGUUUCAACCCCCCUGCUCUGGGCAGGGUUGCCAACUACAAGAGCAGGUGGCCCAGAGCUGCAUCCAGCCUGGCCUUGAAUGCCUCAAUACAGGUCAAGAGUAUUGGCAGGAAAUAAUCCAGGGGUUAUACAAGUGACAUUCUAAAUAUAACCAACAGUGUGCUCUUAUCAUGUCAGAGAAGGCAGACAAGAUGCCCCAUUGGGAACAGAUGGCUUUCUGGAAAUCUACCAACAAGGACUACUCCUGGAAUAGAUUUCAUCUGCAGGCCCCACACAGAGGACUCAAUGAGACUGCUGCAGCUGGUCACUUGAGUUGUUGGAGAAAGAGUGAAGCAGCAGCAAAACAGCCAGAAGGAUCAGCAGCCAUGCAUCAAAUCAGGUGCCUUUCCUGAAAACAUAAUACCUAAUCCUGGAGCACAGCCCAUGGCAUAUCUGUGUGUGCCUAUCACAUAAAACAGUUCGUAGUAUGGAUGGAGGACCAUUGCUUUGUGAGACCUAAUGCACAAGUCUUGCACAACAG
rnacentral:lncRNA from 1 species